rnacentral:rRNA from 1 species
GCAUAUCAAUAAGCGGAGGAAAAGAAACCAACAGGGAUUGCCCCAGUAACGGCGAGUGAAGCGGCAAAAGCUCAAAUUUGAAAUCCUGCGGGAAUUGUAAUUUGAAGGUUUCGUGGUCUGAGUCGGCCGCGCCCAAGUCCAUUGGAACAUGGCGCCUGGGAGGGUGAGAGCCCCGUAUGGCGCACGCCGACUCUUUGCACCGCGGCUCCGACGAGUCGAGUUGUUUGGGAAUGCAGCUCUAAGUGGGUGGUAAAUUCCAUCUAAAGCUAAAUAUUGGCGAGAGACCGAUAGCGAACAAGUACAGUGAUGGAAAGAUGAAAAGCACUUUGAAAAGAGAGUGAAACAGCACGUGAAAUUGUUGAAAGGGAAGGGCUUGCAAGCAGACACGGUUUUACCGGGCCAGCGUCGAAAAGGGGGGAGGAACAAGAACUCGAGAAUGUGGCGCGCACCUUCGGGCGCGCGUGUUAUAGCUCGUGUUGACGCCUCCAUCCCUUUUCGAGGCCUGCGAUUCUAGGACGCUGGCGUAAUGGUUGCAAGCCGCCCGUCUUGAAACACGGACCAAGGAGUCUAACGUCUAUGCGAGUGUUUGGGUGCAAAACCCCAGCGCGGAAUGAAAGUAAGAGGUUGGAGCCGCAAGGCGCACAAUCGACCGACCCUGAAGUGCUCGGACGGGUUUGAGUAGGAGCAUAGCUGUUGGGACCCGAAAGAUGGUGAACUAUGCCUGGAUAGGGUGAAGCCAGAGGAAACUCUGGUGGAGGCUCGCAGCGGUUCUGACGUGCAAAUCGAUCGUCGAAAUCUGGGUAUAGGGGCGAAAGACUAAUCGAACCAUCUAGUAGCUGGUUCCUGCCGAA